rnacentral:piRNA from 1 species
CCUAAGGCUGCUUGUUGA